rnacentral:misc_RNA from 1 species
AUAGCCACCAUUCUCCGCCACUCUGAAGCUAAAGUCUUCUUUGUGGAUUACCAGUUUGUUCCUUUGGCGCGAGAGGCCCUGCGGUUGCUGAUGGGUGAUCACUCUCGGGAGUGUGUUUCAUCUGAAACAAGUUUUCCUUUGGUUAUUGUCAUUGAUGAUAUUGACUCACCCACUGGUGUCAGGCUCGGUGAGUUAGAGUAUGAACAACUUGUUCAUAAGGGCCG